GUGUCACCCCGGUAUAGAAGUACUUCCGGGUCGUUGUAUCCUAGAAAGUAGUUCUUUGAAAUUUUGAAGUUCCCAAUUUAACGCUAUCCCUACUUUGACAUGUUAUAUUCCAAAUGUAUUUAUUGAUACUGUGUACAUUUUUUGUCAUUUCUGAUGUCUUUAACAGUUGUUUUAUGUGUGUUUUUCAGGAUUACAUUUCUGUGCGGAAGGAUUAAAAAACUACACCAGACUGGUGGCCAUGACAGAUGUCAGUGGGAAAUUUAAACAUGGACUAGAUACUUUGAUGUGUAGCAAAAAAGUUCAUCGUUGAUGGUGGUGUUUUUCUGUGAUAUAUUGACUGUGAUAGUAUUACUCUUCAGAAAUACAGAGCUGUCAAUGCUGAAAUUUUGUUGUGAAAUUCACAAUCCAUGUCCAAAAGUGCUUGUUUUACUAUACAGCAAAGAAGGAGAAAUUAUACCGGGCCGACACCUAUAUGGCAAAUUCAGAAAGUGGAAUAUCUCAGCAACAUAGGGUUUACAGUCAUGAAACUUCACACACUAGUAGCUGAUAACAAUACAAAUCAGUGGCUAAAAGGAUAUUUCCAAGGCGAUGAAUUCCAUAUGUCAGAAGGAAAUAUAGAAUCGUACAACCAGUCAGCAGCUACCCAUAAACCAGACCAACCUAUUAAGUCGAGCGGGCAGAAGCUGUGAUUCCCAGUGUAACACCGCAGAAUGACGGCUAGUUUUCGGAUUACAUUUCUGUGCGGAAGGAUUAAAAAACUACACCAGACUGGUGGCCAUGAUAGAUGUCAGUGGGAAAUUUAAACAUGGACUAGAUUCUUUGAUGAGUAGCAAAAAAGUUCAUCGUUGAUGGUGGUGUUUUUCUGUGAUAUAUUGACUGUGAUAGUAUUACUCUUCAGAAAUACAGAGCUGUCAAUGCUGCAAUUUUGUUGUGAAAUUCACAAUCCAUGUCCAAAAGUGCUUGUUUUACUAUACAGCAAAGAAGGAGAAAUUAUACCGGGCCGACACCUCAUGGUAACGACUUCGUUCUGGCCUCUUUUAUCAUGCUAAUAGAAUUCGGUAAACGCCACCCUUUUGUGAUAUCUGUCGUUUGUUUU